GGACGCGGUCUCGGCGGUCUUCUUUCUGUUUUUUAGUUUUCCUUCUAACAGUCAGGCUCCUCUGCUGUAGGACUGCUGGAGGUCCACUCUAGACCCUGCUUGCCUGGGAAUCACCUGUGGGGGGCUGCAGAACAGCAAGGAUUGCUGCCUGUUCCUUCCUCUGGUAGUUUCAUCCCAGAAGGGUAUCCACCAGAUGACAGCCAGAGCUCUCCUGUAUGAAGUGUCUCUUUGGAUAUACGGGGAUAAGGGAGCCCCUUGAGGAGGCACUCUGUCCCUUAUCAGAGCUCAAGUGCUAUGCUGAGAGCUCCGUUGCUCCCUUCAGAGCUGCUGGACAGGGACGUUUAAGUCUGCUGAAGUGGAACUCACAAUCGCCCUUAUUCCCAGGUGCUGUGUCCCAGGAAGGUGGGGCUUUAUUUAUAAGUCCCUGACAGGCUGCUGCCUUUUUUCAGAGAUGCCUUGCCCAGCAAGGAGGGAGUCUAGUCAGUCUGCCUGCAGAGGCCUUAGUGAGCUGCCAUGGGCUCUGCCCAACUGCUGGGUAACCUUCCUUGCGAUUUUGUUUACACAUUUAAGGUUAAAACUGCAUCAGUAAUGGAGGACUCCCCUUCCUCGCACCGAGCUUGACCAUCCCAGAUAGAGCUUAAACUGCUGUGCUGGCUGUGAAAAUCUCAAGCUGUGCUGGCUGUGGAAAUCUCAAGCCAGUGGGUUUCAGUUUGCUGGUCUUUGUGGCAGUGGGACCAGCCAAGCCAGAUUACAUGGCUCCCUGCCUUCAGCCCCCCUUUUUUCAGGUGAAUGGGUGGUUCUGCCUUGUAGGCACUCCAGGCUCUGACUAAAAUGGCCACUCAGUUUUGUGCUGGAAACCCACGGCACUGGUGUUGACAGGCACCAGUGGGAAUCUCCUGGUCUGUGGGCUGAAGAGACUGUGGGGAAAGUGUAGUAUCUGAGCCAGAGUGCCAGGGUGUCCAGAAAAGUCCCCGAUGGCCUCCCUUGGGUAGGAGAGGGAGUCCUCUGCCCCUUCCUUGCACUUCCCAGAUGAGGCAACACCCCACCCUGCCUCAGUUUGCCUUCCUUGGGCUACACCCACUGUCCAACCAAUCUAUUGAGGUGAACCUGGUACCUUGGUUGGAAAUGUGGAGAUCACUUGCCUUCUGUGUUGCUCUCGCUGGGAACUGCGCUCCAGAGCUGUUCCUAUUCAGCCAUCUUCUAAAGGCUCCCUUUGUGGCUGUUUUAAGUGGGAUUGCAUUUUUAUUUGUUUUUCAGCUUGAAUGUCAUUGUUGUAUAGAAUGCUACUAAUUUUUGUACAUUGAUUUUAUACCCUUAAACUUUGCUGAAGUCAUUUGUCAGGUAUAUGAGUCCUUUGGAGAAACCUUUAAGGUUUUCUAGGUAUAGAAUCAUGUCAUCAGUGAAGAAAGAUAAUUUGACUCCCUCUUUCGAUGUCUUUUAUUUCUUUCUCUUGCCUGAUUUCUCUGGUUAGGACUUCCAGCACUAUGUUGAAAAGGAGUGGUGAGACAUUCCUGUAUUGUUCCACUUCUUGAGGGGAGUGAUUCCAACUUUUGCCCAUCCAGUAUAAUGUAGGCUUUGGGUUUUUCAUAGGUGGCUCUUACUGUUUUGAGGUAUGUUUCUUGAUGCCUAGCUUGUUGAGAUUUUUUUUUUUUUUUAAGGAUAUUGGAUUUUGGCCGGGCGCGGUGGCUCACGCCUAUAAUCCAAGCACUUUGGGAGGCCGAGGAGGGUGGAUCACAAGGUCAAGAGAUCGAGACCAUCCUGGCCAGCAUGGUGAAACCCCGUCUCUACUAAAAAUACAAAAAUUAGCUGGGCAUGCUGGCGUGUGCCUGUAGUCCCAGCUACUCGGGAGGCUGAGGCAGGAGAAUUGCUUGAACCCAGGAGGAGGAGGUUGCGGUGAGCUGAGAUCGUGCCAUUGCACUCCAGCCUGGGUAACAAGAGCGAAACUCUGUCUCAAAAAAAAAAAAAAAAAAAAGGUAUUGGAUUUUAUUGAUUUUUUUUCUAUAUCUAUCGAGAUGACAAUUUAGUUUUUGUUUUGAAUUCUCUUUGUGGUGAAUCAUAUUUACUGAUUGGCAUAUAUUGAACCAGAUUUUCAUCUCAGGAAUAAAUCCUACUUGAUUAUGUCAAUGUUAUCUCUUUGACAUGCUGCUGAAUUCAGUUUGCAAGUAUUUUCUUGAGGAGUUUUCCUUUUUUGAUUUGGUUCUCAGCUUGAGUUAUUGGUGUAUAAAAACGCUAUUCAUAUUUGUAUGUUUGUUUUGUAUCCUGAAACUUUACUGAAGUUGUUUGUCAAGUCUAGGAGACUUGGAGGAAUCUUUAAGGUUUUCUAGGUGUAGAUACAUAUCAGCAGUAAAGAAAGAUUAUUUGUCUUCAUCUCUUCCUAUUUGUAUGUCUUUCUUUCUUUCUGAUUCCUUUGGAUUUUUCAUCAGGGAUAUUAUUCUAUCAUUUUUUUGUGUGUGUGUAUCUUUGUCAGAUUUGGUAUCAGAAUGAUAUUGGUUUCAUAGAAUGAGCUAGGAAGGAAUCCGUCUUCAAGUUUUUAAAAAAAAUUUCAGUAGGAUUAGUAUCAGCUCUUUGUAUGUGGAAGAAUUCAGCUGUGAAAGCCUCUGGUACAGAGUUUUGUUUUUCUUUUUUUGGGUUUUUUUUUUGUUGGUUGGUAGGUUUUUUAAAAUUACUGAUUCAAUUUGUAAGUCACUCUUGGUCUGUUCAGGAAUUCUAUUUCUUCCUGCUUCAGUCUUGAGAGGUAUUAUCUUUCUAGGAGUUUAGUCAUUUCCCUUAGAUUUUCUAGUUUGUGUGUAUAGAGAUGUUUAUACUAGUCCCCGAGGCUCUUCUGUAUUUCUGCAGGAUUAGUUGUAAUGUCACCUUUGUCAUUUCUGAUUAUGCUUACUUGCAUCUUCUGUCUCUUUUUAUUUAUUUUUUUAUUAUUAUUUUUGAGAUGGAGUCUCACUCUGUCACCCAGGUUGGAGGGCAAUGGCACAGUCUUGGCUCACUACAACCUCCACCUCCUGGGUUCAAGUGUGAUUCUCCUGCCUCAGCCUCCAGAGAGGCUGGGAUUACAGGCGCACACCACCACGCCUAACUAACUUUUGUAUUUUUAGUAGAGAAGAGGUUUCACCAUGUUGGCCAGGCUGGGCUGGAACUCCUGACCUCAAGUGACCUGCCCACCUCUGCCCACCAAAGUGCUGGGAUUAUAGGCAUGAGCUACCACGCCAGGCUUUCUCUCUCUUUUUAAAAAAUCUAGCUACGGCGAGUGAGGCGUGGUGGCUCACGCCUUAAUUUCAACACUUUGAGAGGUGGAAGCAGGCGGAUCACCUGAAGUCAGGAGUUCAAGACCAGCUUGGCCAACCUGAUGAAACCCCGUCUCUACUAAAAAGUACAAAAAAUAGCCGGCCGUGGUGGCACGGAUCUGUAAUCCCAGCUGCUCGGGAGGCUAAGGCAGGGAGAAUUGCUUGAACCCGGCAUGCGGAGGUUGCAGUGAGCUGAGAUCACGCCACUGCACUGCAGACUGGGUGACAGUGCCAGAUUCUGCACCACAAUAAACAAACAAACAAACAAACAAAAUCUAGCAAGCAGAGCCAGUGGGGACCGGGUGGGUGCCUCAGUCCCCUUCCCCUCCCCUUGCCUGGCCUCGUGGUCUUCUCUCAGCAGCCGGACCGGAACUGUAUGAUCCUGGAAGUUCCGAGCCUUAGCUGUGUGGAAUAAACAGUAAUGGCGGAGGCUGUAGCUCCCGGAACAACGGCCACAACAUUAGGAGCAGUAGUGGUAGCGGUGGUGGCGGCAGCAACCUCCUGCACCCCGAUCCCCACAGUCACCGCCCCAUUCCUGGGUGGUGGCAGUGACAGCAGCCACAGCUGGGUAGCCACGGCCACCACUGCAGCGGUGGUAGCCGCUGGCUGGACUGAACAGGUCACCUUGCUGUUAUAUUAUGCAUGGAGUUUGUAAGACAGAGAUAACUGUGGAUACUUACAUGACCUCUCUGACAGUUCGUAUGGUGUAGUGUGCAAGUAUUUUCAGCGAGGGUACUGUGUUUAUGGAGACCGCUGCAGUUAUGAACAUAGCCAUUGAAACAGGAAGAAGCAACUGCUACAGAGCUAACUACAAAGUCAUCCCUUGUUGCUUCCUCAAGUCUCUCAUUGAUAGUUGAAACAAAUACAGGUGAAGCUGAGUCAAGAAAUUCAAACUUUGCAACUGUAGGAGUAGGUUCAGGGGACAGGGUGAAUGCUAUUGAGUUUGUUCCUGGGCAACCCUACAUUGGCCGUACUGCACCUUCCUGCACUGAAGCACCCCUGCAGGGCUCAGUGACCAAGGAAGAAUCAGAGAAAGAGCAAACUGCCAUGGAAACAAAGAAGCAGCUGUGCUCCGAUGCUGCAGUGGGAGAGUGCCGAUACGGGGAAAACGUGUCUCCACAAAGAUUCAUGUGACAUGUGUGGGCUGCAGGUCCUGUAUUGGAUAGAUGCUACCCAGAGAUCACAGCACAUAAAAUGGUGCAAUGAGGCCCAUGAGGAGGACAUGGAACUCUCAUUUGCUGUGCAGCACAGCAAGGACAUGUUGUGUGGGAUCUACAUGGGGGUGGUCUAUGAGAAAGCCAACCCCAGUGAGCACUGCUUUGGGGUCCUCUCCAUCUGCAACCACACCUACUGUCUCAAGUGCAUUCGCAAGUGGAGGAGUGCUAAGCAAUUUGAGAGCAAGAUCAUAAAGUCCUGCCCAGAAUGCCGGAUCACGUCUAACUUUGUCAUUCCAAGCGAGUACUGGGUGGAGAAGAAAGAAGAGAAGAAGAAACUCGUUCAGAAAUACAAAGAGGCAAUGAACAACAAGGCACACAGGUAUUUUGAAGAAUGUGGGAGCUGCCCAUUUUGAGGGAACUGUUUUUAGAAGCAUGCAUACCCUGAUCGCUGUAGAGAGGAUCCACAGAGACAGAAAGUGGGAACAUCAAGCAGACACUGGGCCCAACAAAGGAACCACUUCUGGGAACUCAUCGAGGAAAGAGAACAACAACCCCUUUGACAUCGAAGAAGAUGUUGUCACCUUUGAGCUGGGUGAGAUGUUGCUUAUGCUUUUGACUGCAGGUAGGGAUGACGAACUGACAGACUCUGAAGAUCAGUGGGAGUUGUUUCAUGAUGGAAGAUUUUUUAUGACUUGGAUCUAUAGCAACCUUGUGUGGCAUGUGAACUGGUCUGCUGACCCCAGGCAGCAUCUGUUCCCUGUGGUAGUAUGGCAGUGCAUGUGUUCUCUCUGAGGCAGGCCUAUCAACUCCAGGUGCUGUCAUUAAGAAUUUUUACCCAGGGCCUGUCUUCUCAACCCCUCACCUUUCCCUGAGGAGUUGUUGUUUUCCCUGUUGAAAAAAGUUACAAAAAUAAGUCUUAAAGUUAGUUUUUGUAAUACAAAUUUAACAUCAGACAGUUAGUGUAGGUAUGUUGCAUCAUCUGUUUUCAACCAGAUUGUGUUUAUGAACUUUUCACACACUCAUUUUGAGGACCCCACGUUUGAAAGUAAAAGCAGUGGCCCUGCUUUGGGGUCCAAGAAUAGGAGGGAUGGGUGAAGGUACCUAAGCUGGCCAGUAGCCUUCUGCUCCAGACAUGGGACAUAGAUCCUUGAGAUUUCUAGUGAAACCUGCACAUCUGUGUUUUUAUACCUGCUCCCUACCCUGUAAUCCCUACUACAUGCACUUGUUCUGUGGUUAUGGUCUCUUGUUUAAUUGCACACAAUUAGUACUACUGGGUAACCAGAACUAGGUGUGAUUGUGUUGAUAUUUCUACUGUUUUGCAUGAUAGAAAAAUGGAGAAGAAUACUUAUCAAAGAUAUAGAAGCAUAACAUCAAUGCUCAGUUGGAAGUUGACUCCUGAGGGCUGACAUUGGUGUAUGUGAGUGUGGGUGUGUGAUAAGCUUCUCAUCCCUGCAUAGAUGCAGUAUUUUUAGACUUAGUAGAAAAACCCAGUUUAGUGGUUUAAGACUUGUGUGGCAGAUAGAUCUUAAAGAACAAAGCAGUAUGUUGGUAGUUGUCCGUAUAGCAGCACAAGCUCUGUCUCUAAAUAGAGAAGUGGGGUUAGCCAUAAAGGUUAAAACUACCCAUUUAUUCCAUAUAUUAACACAAACUGGGACUUGGCUACAUAGUUGUAUUUAAUGUUUUACAAUCUAUCCUUUCCAGUACAGGCACUAUCUAAAAAACCUUUGUCCUCGUUGGGGCAUUUUGUUGUCGGGUUUUUGUGUUUGUUUUUGUGGGUAUUUGCGUCAUUCCACUCUUGAGCUUUCAGGUAGAGAGAUGGGAUUCAAAACUCUGUUCUAAGGUGUUUGUUGUAGUGGAACAAUGGGUUUGUAGUAAUAAGUCAUACUUUUGCACCGAAGAGGAGGGCUUUGGAAUCCCUAAGACUAGCUAAAGUUAAGUUGUUGGAAGAAUUCCUUGAUUCACAAAGGCAAAUUUUACCUUUGUGUUUUGUCACUCUGUUUCCUGAAUGUAACUCUGGGAUUCUCCUAUUUGGCCAUCUACUGCUUUGAUUCCUUGGAUCUGACCCAUUCUUUCACUUUAAGAAAAACAAGUAAUUGUUGCAGAGGUCUCUGUAUUUUGCAGCUGCCCUUUUGUAAGAAGCACUUUUCGCAAAUGAAACAAUUUUUUAAAAAUCUAGCCAGCAGCCUAUUAAUCUUUUCUAUCCUUUACAAGAAAAAAUUUUCAUUUUGUUGAUACUAUUUAUUUAUUUAUUUUGCUGUCUAUUCUAUUUAGUUCUGCUCUGAUUUUAGUUAUUUAUUUUCUUCUGCUAGCUUUCGGUUUAGUGCUUUUCUGAGUUUCUAGUCCCUUUAGGUGUUACAUUAGCUUGUUAAUUUGAGAUCUAUUUGUCUUCUUAAUGUUGACUUUAAGCACUGUACUUUUGACACAUCCUUGGGAUUUUGGUAUGUUGUGUCUCUAGUUUCAUUUGUUUCAAAUAAAUUUUUAAAUUUAUGUCUUAAUUUUAUUAUUUCCCCUAUAGUCAUUCAGGAGCAAGUAAUUUAGUUUUCAUGUAUCUUUGUAGUUUUGAGAGUUUUUGUCAGUUUUGAUUUCUAUUUUUAUUCCACUGUGAUCUGAGAAGAUGAUUGAUAUGAUUUUUAUUUUUAUUUAUUUAUUUAUUUUGAGACGGAGUCCUGCUUCUCAUUCUGUCGCCCAGGCUAGAGUAUAGUGGUGCGAUCUUGGCUCACUGCAACCUCUGCCUCCCGGGCUCAAGUGAUUCUUCUGCCUCAGCCUCCCGAGUAGCUGGGACUACAGGCCCUUGCCACCACACCUGGCUAAUUUUUGUGUUUUUAUUAGAGAUGGGGUUUCACCAUGUUAGCCAGGAUGGUCUUGAUCUCCCGACCUCAUGAUCCGCCUGCCUUGGCCUCCCAAAGUGUUGGGCUUACAGGCAUGAGCCACUGUGCCUGGCCAUGAUUUUAAUUCUUUUUUCAAUUUGCUGAGACUUGCUUUUUGACUGCAUAUGUAGUCAGUCUUAGAGUAGGUGGAAAUGAGAAGAAUAUAUAUUCUCUGGUUGUUGGGUGGAAUAUUCUGUCAAUGUAUAUUAGGCCUAACUGGUCAAGUGUCAAAUUUAAGUCCAGAAUUUCUUUGUUAGUUUUCUGCUUUAAUGAUCUGUCUAAUGCUUUCAGUGGGGUAUGGAAGUCCCGAAUUAUUACUGUGUGGCUAAGUCAUUUCCUAAAAUAAGUAGUGAUUGUUUUUAUAAAUCUGGGUGCUCCAGUUUUAGGUGCAUAUAUAUUUAGUUAAAUCUUGAAUCACACACGUUAUCAUUAUGUAAUACUGUUCUUUGUCCUUUUACUGUUGUUGGUUUAAAGUCUGUUUUAUCCAAUACAAAAAUAAUGACCUCUGCUGUUUUUUGAUUUCUAUUUGCAUGAUAGAUCUUUCUCCAUCCCUUUAAAUUGUGCCUAUAGGUGUCAUUAAAUGUGACAUAUAUCUCUUGAACACAGCAGAAAGUUGAGUCUUGUUUUCUUAUCUAAUUUGCCACUUCAUUUCUUUUAAGUGGAGGAUUUAGGUCAUUUACACUCAAGCUUUAUAUUGAUAUGUAAGCUUUUUUUCCUAUUGCAGUAUUCUUAGCUAGUUGCUUCGUGGUCUUGAUUGUGUAGUUGCUUUAUAAGAUCUGUGGGCUAUGUACUUAUGUGUGCUUUUGUGGUAGCAAGUAUCAUUCUUUCAUUACUAUGUAUGGAACUCCCUUAAGCAUCUCUUGUAGGGCCAGUCUGGUGGUGAUGAAUUCUCUUAGUGAUUGCUCAUUUGGCAAAGACUUCAUUUCUCCUUUCUUUAUGAUGCUUGGUUUAGCAGGAUAUGAAGUUCUUCGCUGGAUUUUCUUCAAGAAUGUUGAAAAUAGGCCCCUAAUCUCUUCUGGCUUAUACAGUUUCUGCUGAGAAGUCCACUGUUAGUCUGAUGGGAUUCUCUUUAUAGGUAAUAUGACUCUUUAGUUGCCUUUAAGAUUUUUAUUUUGUGCUGACCUUGUAAACUGAUGACUGUGUGCCUUGGGAAUAGUCAUCUUGUCUAGUAUCUUGCAGGAGUUCUCUGUAUUUCUUUUAUCUGCAUGUGGACCUCUCUAGUAAGAUUGGGGAAAUUUUCCUGGGUUACAUUCUCAAAUACGUUUUCCAAUUUGUUUACUUUCUCUUCUCUCUCAGGAAUGCUGAUGAAUUGAAGGUUAGAUCACAUUAUAUAAUCCCAUAUUUUUAAAGGCUUUUCUAAAAAAUGUAUUUUAGAUACAGGGGUACUUGUGGAGGAUUGUUAUAUAGGUAAAUUGCACACCAUGGAGAUUGGGUGUACACAUUGUUUCAUUACCCAAGUAAUAAGCAUAGUACCUGAUAGGCAGUUUUUGAUCCACACCCUCCUCCCACCCUCCACUCUCAAGUAGGUGCUGGUGUCUGUUGUUCCCUUCUUUGUAUUCAUAUGUACUCAAUGUUUAGCUCCCACUUAUAAUUGAGAACAUGUACUAUUUGGUUUUCUGUUCCUAAAUUAGUUUACUUAGGAUAACGAGCUCCAGUUCCAUUCAUGUUGCUGCGAAGGGCAUGAUCUUGUUCUUUUUUAUGGCUGUGUGUUAUGCCAUGGUGUAUAUGUACCAUAUUUUUUUAAUCCUGUCAACAUUGCUAGGCAUUUAGGUGAAUUCAUGUCUUUGUGGUUGUGAAUAGUGCUAUGAUGAAUAUACAUAUGCAUGUGUCUUUAUGGUAGAACAGUUUAUAUUCCUUUGUGUAUUUACUCAAUAAUGGGAUUGCUGGGCCAAAUGGUAGUUCCAUUUUAAGGUAUUUGAGAAAUCUCCAGACUGACUGCUUUCUACAGUAACUGAACUAAUUUACAUUCCCACCAGCAUUCCCAUUUCUCUGCAACCUCACGAGCAUCUUUUUUUUUUUUUUUUUGACUUUUUAGUGAUAGCCCUUCUGAUGGGUGUCAAACAUGGAAUAUUAUACCAGUUCUUUGUGUCUUCUCUGAUUUGCUUCAGUAAUAUUUUGUAGGAUUUCUUGUAGAGAUCUUUAACCUCCCUGGUUAGCUGUUUCCUAGAUAUUUUAUUCUUUUGUAGCUAUUGUGAAUAGGAUCGUUUUCUUGAUUUGGCUCUGAGCUUGUAGAUUUUUGGUGUAUAGCAUAUGAAGAAUAGUUUUAAAUUUCUGAUCUUACAAUUCCAACAUCACUACCAUAUCUGAGUGUGGUAUUAAUGCUUGCUCUGUCUCUUUAAAUUAUGUAUUUUGACCUUCGCUAUACCUUGUAACUUUUUUUAACAGCUAGACAUAAGAUACUGGAUAAAUAGAACCCUGGUAAGUGUUUUUUCAGGUGGUAAAAUGUUGGGAGAAGGGAAGUGGUCCAUGGUUCUAUAAAUUAGGUGUUAGCCUGUGCUUCUAAAAAUGUGAACCUCACCAAUGCUUCUCAAUCCUUUCUGCCCUAGGAUAGGAUGGCUAGAGUAACACUGAGUUUGAUUUUUUUUUUUUUUUUUUUUUUUUUUUUUUUGAGAUGGAGUUUCACUCUUGUUUCCCAGGCUGAAGUGCAAUGGUACCAUCUUGGGUCACUGCAACCUCCGCCUUCCAGGUUCAAGUGAUUCUCCUUCCUCAGCCUCAUGAGUAGCUGGGAUUACAGGUGUGUGCUACCACACCUGGCUAAUUUUGUAUUUUUAAUAGAGACGGGGUUUCUUCAUGUUGGUCAUGAACUUCUGACCUUAGUUGAUCCACCUACCUCAGCCUCCCAAAGUGCUGGGAUUACAGGUGUGAGCCACCACGCCUGCGGAGUUUCAUUUUCCUUUUUCUUUCUUUAUGUGGAAGGCUCCACGGGGCUAGAUUUGGGUAUUUUCUCUCCCAGGUCAGUUAGACUCUGAUAAAAUGCUAAUGGUUUAGGCUCCGGUAAAGUAGUUUCUCUUGAGGCAGACCUUAUUAAGAAAAACAAAAUGCUCUGUCAUAUUAAAAAGUGGUUUCUUUUUGCCUUUCCUUUUCAGAAGCAUGGGAGGAUUUUUUUUUCCAAUGUUCACUGUGAGAAUCUAUGAGGUAAAAUUCAUAACCAUGUUUCCCCGUCAUUAGACAUAUCUCCAAAGUUUUUACUCCCAGACUUGUCUGCUCUAAGCCUCCAAUAAUUUGUCAAUUACAGUUCAGGUUUUUCUACCCUGGUACUGGUUCAUGCUGAAGUUCUGCUUCGAGGUUUUCACUCCAGUAAAUUAUGAUUCUCUGUAUUCAUAUGUCUGCCUCUCUGAUUUUCGGGGCAAUAAUUUUCCCUUUGAUUUCACUUUUCUGACAGUUAAAAAGAGUUCAUUUUUCAGUUUGGUCAGCCUAUUACUUGUUGCUAAGGUGAAGCGACAACCUCCAAGCUCCUAACAUGCCAGAAACUGGAAAUUACUCAUUCUCUUUUAUGACUGCAUACUACUCCACUGUAUAUAUGUAUAGUCUAUGUCUAAUCACUUUCCUAUAUAUGUGCAUUUAGGUUGUUUCUAAUGCUUAGCAAUUGAAACUAUUCCACACUGAAUAACCUUGACCAUUUGCACUUUAUUGUUGGAUUUAAUUUCUAGAUAGAUUUCUAAAGUGAAAUUUUUAGCAAAAUGUAAGGGCAUAUAUAGCUUCAUUAGGUAUUGCUAAAUUUACCUCUGGAAAAAUUUUGACAAUUUGCAUUUCUGCUAGCAGUGGGUAAGAGUGGCUUUUUCCUCCUGGCCUCACCAACAAAAUGUACUUUUGUACUUUAAAAUGUUUCCAACUUGAUAGGUGAGGAAUGAAGUAAGCUUGAAUAUUUUUUGUAUGUUGUAGUUCAGUUUUUACGUGCUUAUGUGAAUUAUCUACAUACUUUCUCCUAUUUUUCUCUCAAGUGUUUGGUACAUCUCUCCUCAAUUGUGUGUGUGUUUGUGCAUGUGUAUGGAUGUAAGUGUGUAUAUGUAUAUUAACACACACACACACAUAUAUACUUAUAUAAAAUGUAUAUUAGCCCUUUGUGUUUAGGAUAUGUUGCAAAUAUAUUUUCCCCAUUAUCAGUUUUCCUUUGAAUUAUCUUCGUUUUCAUGCAAAUAGUUUCUGUUUUAUUUACUCAAUGUUAUCAAUAUUUUCUUUUUCUUAUUUUUAUUUUUUAUUUUUUUUAUUGUACUUUAGGUUAUGGGGUACAUGUGCAGAUCAUGCAGGAUUGUUGCAUAGGUACACACAUGACAAUGUGGUUUGCUGCCUCCAUCCCCCGUCAUCUACAUCUGACAUUUCUCCCCAUGUUAUCCCUCCUUGACCUCCCCACCACCCCCCUGCUGUCCCUCCCUUGGCCUCCACAAACAGACCCCAGUGUGUGGUGCUCCCCUCCCUGUGUCCAUGUGUUCUCAUUUUUCAACACGUGCCUAUGAGUGAGAACAUGCAGUGUUUGAUUUUCUGGUCUUGUGUCAGUUUGCUGAGAAUGAUGUUCUCCAGGUUCAUCCAUGUCCCCACAAAGGAUACAAACUCAUUGUUCUUUAUGGCUGCAUAGUAUUCCAUAGCAUAUAUGUGCCACAUUUUCCUUGUUCAGUCUAUCGUCGAUGGGCAUUUUGGUUGGUUCCAGGUCUUUGCUAUUGUAAACAGUGCCACUAUGCACAUACAUGUGCAUGUAUCUUAUAAUAGAAUGAUUUAUAAUCCUUUGGGUAUAUACCCAGUAAUGGGAUUGCUGGGUCAAAUGGAAUUUCUAUUUCUAGGUCCUUGAGGAAUCACCACACAGUCUUCCACAAUGGUUGAACUAAUUUACACUCCCACCAGCAGUAUAAAAGUGUUCCUAUUUCUCCACAUCCUCUCCAGCAUCUGUUGUCUCCAGAUUUUUUAAUGAUCACCAUUCUAACUAGCCUGAGGUGGUAUCUCAAUGUGGUUUUGAUUUGCAUUCUCUAAAAAUCAGUGAUGAUGAGCAUUUUUUCAUGUGUUUGUUGCAUUUUUCAUAUGUCUUCUUUUGAAAAUGUCUGUUCAUAUUCAUUGCCCACUUUUGGAUGGGUUUGUUUGUUUUUUUCUUGCAAAUUUGUUUUAGUUCUUUCUAGAUUCUGGAUAUUAGCCCUUUUUCUGAUGGGUCGCUUGCAAAAAUUUUUUCCCAUUUGUUGGUUGCCAGUUCACUCUAAUGAUUGUUUCUUUUGCUGUACAGAAGCUCUGGAGUUUAAUUAGGUCCCAUUUGUCUAUUUUGGCUUUUGUUGCCAAUGCUUUUGGUGUUUUAGUAAUGAAGUCCUUGCCUAUGCCUAUGUCCUGAAGGGUUUUGCCUAGGUUUCUUCUAGGGGUUUAUGGUGUUAGGUCUUAUGGUUAAGUUUUUAAUCCAUCUGGAGUUAAUUUUAGUGUAAGGUGUCAGGAAAAGGUCCAGGUUCUGCUCUCUUCACACUGCUGGCAGUUUUCCCAACAUCAAUUAUUAAACAGGGAAUCCUUUCCCCAUUGCUUGUUUUUGUCAGGUCUGUCAAAGAUCAGAUGAUUGUAGAUGUGUGGUGUUGCCUCCAGGGCCUCUGUUCUGUUCCAUUGGUCUAUAUUUCUGUUUUGGUACCAGUACCAUGCUGUUUUGAUUACUGUAGCCUUGUAGCAUAGUUUGAAGUCAGGUAGCAUGAUGCCUCUGGCUUUGUUCUUUCACUUAGGAUUGUAUUGGCUAUGCAGGCUCUCUUUUGGUUCCAUAUGAAGUUUAAGGUAGUUUUCUCUAGUUCUGUGAAGGUCAGUGGUAGCUUGAUGGGGAUAGCAUUGAAUCUAUAAAUUACUUUGGGCAGUAUGACCGUUUUCCUGAUAUUGAUUCUUCCUAAACAUGAGCAUGGAAUGUUUCUCCAUCUGUUUGUGUCCUCUCUUAUUUCCUUGAACAGUGGUUUGUAGUUCUCCUUGAAGAGGUCCUUUACAUCCUUUGUUAGUUGUAUUCCUAGGUAUUUUAUUCUCUUUGUAGCAGGUGUGAUUGGGAGUUCGCUCAUGAUUUGGCUCUCUGUUAGUCUGUUAUUUGUAUAUAGAAGUGCUUGUGAUUCCCGCACUUUGAUUUUGUAUCCUGAGACUUUGCUGAAGUUGCUUAUCAGUUUAAGGAGUCUUCUAAAUGUACAAUCACAUCAUCUGAAAAUAGAGACAAUUUGACUUCCUUUUUUCCUAACUGAAUAUUCUUUUUUUUUUUUUUUUUGUCUAAUUGCUCUGGCUAGAACUUUCAAUACUAUAUUGAAUAGGAGUGGUGAGAGAGGGCAUCCUUGUCUAGUGCUGGAUUUCAAAGGGAAUGCUUCCAGUUUUUGCCCAUUCAGUAUGAUAUUGGCUUUAGAUUUGUCAUAAAUAACUUUUAUUGUUUUUAGAUAUGUUCCUUUAAUACCUAGUUUAUUGAGAGUUUUUAGCAUAAAGGGCUGUUGAAUUUUGUCAAAGGCCUUCUCUACAUCUAUUGUGAUAAUCAUGUGGUUUUUGUCUUUGGUUCUGUUUAUGUAGUGGAUUACAUUCAUAGACUUGUGUAUGUUGAACCAGCCUUGCAUCCCUGGAAUGGAGGCUACUUGAUCGUGAUGGAUAAGCUUUUUGAUGUGCUGUUGAAAUCGGUUUGCCAGUAUUUUAUUGAAGAUUGUUGCCACUAUGUUUAUCACAGAUAUUGGCCUGAAGUUUUCUUUUUUUUGUUGAGUCUCUGCCAGGUUUUGGUAUCAGGAUGAUGUUGGUCUCAUACAAUGAUUGGGGAAGGAUUCCCUAUUUAUGUCUUGUUUGGAAUAGUUUCAGAAGGAAUGGUACUAGCUUCUCUUUAUAUGUCUGGUAGAAUUCAGCUGUGGACCCGUCUGGACCUGGACUUUUUUUCGUUGGUAGGCUAUUAAUUGAUGCCUCAACUUCAGCCUUUGUUGUUGGCCUAUUCAAGGUUUUAACUUCUUCCUGGUUUAGGCUUGGGAGGGUUCAAGUAUCCAGGAAUUUAUUUAUUUCUUCCAGGUUUACUGGUUAUGUGCAUAGAGUUUUUUUGUAGUAAUCUCUGAUUGUAGUUUGUAUUUCUGUGGACUCAGUGAUGAUAUCCCCUUUAUUGUUUUUAAUGGCAUAUAUUUGAUUCUUCUCCAUUUUCUUUUUUAUUAAUCUGGCUAGUUGUCUGUCUAUUUUGUUGAUAUUUUCAAAAAACCAGCUUCUGGAUUUUUUUGAUUUUUUGAAGGGUUUUUUUAAUGUCUCUAUCUCCUUCAGUUCUGCUCUGAUCUUAGUCAUUUCUUGUCUUCUGCUAGCUUGUGAAUUUUUUUAAUCUUGCUCCUCUAGCUCUUUCAAUUUUGACAAUAGGCAUUAAUUUUAGAUCUUUCCUUGCCUCUCAUGUGGGCAUUUAUUGCUAUAAAUUUCCCUCUAGACACUGCUUUAAAUGUUUCCCAGAGAUUCUGGUAUGUUGUGUCUUCAUUCUCGUUGGUUUUAAAGAACAUCUUUAUUUCUGCCUUCAUUUCAUUGUUUUUCCAGUUGACAUUCAGGAGCCAGUUGUUCAGUUUCCAUGAAGCUGUGCAGUUCUGAGUUAGUUUCUUAAUCCUGAGUUCUAAUUUGCUUGCCCUGUGGUCUGAGAGACUGUUGGUUAUGAUUUCCAUUCUUCUGCAUUUGCUAAGGAGUGAUUUACUUCCAAUUAUGUGGUCAAUUUUAGAGUAGUUACAAUGCAGUGCUGAGAAGAAUGUAUAUUCUGUGGAUUUGGGGUGGAAAGUUCUGUAGAUGUCUGUUAGGUCCACUUGGUCUAGAUCUGAAUUCAAGUCCUGGAUAUCCUUGUUAAUUUUCUGUCUCAUUGAUCUGUUUAAUAUUGACAGUGGAGUGUUAAAGUCUCCCACUAUUAUUGUGUGGGAGUCUAAGUCUCUUUGUGUGUCAUUAAGAACUUGCUUUAUGUACCUGGGUACUCCUGUAUUGGGUGCAUAUAUAUUUAGGAUCGUUAGCUCUUCUUGUUGCAUUGAUCUUUUUGCCAUUAUGUAAUGCUCUUCUUUGUCUGUUUUGAUCUUUGUUGGUUUAAAGUCUAUUUUAUCAGAGACUAGGGUUGUAAGCCCUGUUUUUUUUUUUUUUGGUUCACCAUUUGCUUGACAAAUCUUCCUCCAUCCCUUUAUUUUGAGCCUGUGUGUGUCCUUGCAUGUGAGAAGAGUUUCCUGAAUACAGCACACCAAUGGGUCUUGACUUUUUAUCCAAUUUAUCAGUCUGUGUCUUUUGAUUGGGACAUUUAGCCCAUUUACAUUUAAGGUUAAUAUUGUUAUGUGUGAAUUUGAUCCUGCCAUUUUUAUGCUAGCCGGAUGUUUUGCCCGUUAGUUGAUGCAUUUUUUUUUCACUGUGUCAAUUGUCUUUACCAUUUGGUUCAUUUUUGUAGUGGCUGGUACUGGUUGUUCCUUUCCUUGCUUAGUGCUUCUUUCAGGAGCUCUUGUAAGGCAGGCCUGGUGGUGACAACAUCUCUUAGCAAUUGCUUGUCCAUAAAGGAUUUUCCUUCUCCUUUGCUUAUGAAGCUUAGUUUGGUUGGAUAUGAAAUUCUAGGUUGAAAGUUCUUUUCUUUAAGGAUGUUGAAUAUUGGCCCCAACUCUCUUCUGGCAUGUAGAGUUUUUGCUGAGAGAUCCACUUUGAGUCUGAUGGGCUUCCCUUUGUGGGUAACCCGACCUUUCUCUCUGGCUGCCCUUAGCAUUUUUUUCCUUCAUUUCAACCCUGGUGAAUCUGAUGAUUAUGUGCCUUGGGUUGCUCUUCUUGAGGAAUAUCUUUGUGGUGUUCUCUGUAUUUCCUGGACUUGAAUGGUGGCGUGGCUUGCUAGGUUGAGGAAGUUCUCCUGGAUAAUAUCCUGAAGGGUGGUUUCCAGCUUGGAUUCAUUCUCUCUGUCACAUUCAGGUACACCUAUCAAACAUGGAUUAGAUCUUUUCACAUAAUCCCAUAUUUCCUGGAGGCUUUGUUCAUUUCUUUUCACUCUUUUUUCUCUAAUCUUGCCUUCUCAUUUUAUUUCAUUGAGUUGAUCUUCAUUCUCUGAUAUCCUUUCUUCUGCUUGGUCGAUUUGGCUAUUGAAACUUGUGCAUGCUUCACAAAGUUCUCUUGCUGUGUUUUUCAGCUCCAUCAAGUCCUUUCUAUUCUUCUCUAAGCUGUUUAUUCUAGUUAGCAUCUCUUCUAACCUUUUUUCUAGGUUCUUAGUUUCUUUGCAUUGGGUUAGCACAUGUUCUUUUAGCUCUGAGAAGUUUGUUAUUAACCAUCUUCUGAAGCCUGUUUUUGUCAGUUCAUCAGAUUCAUUCUCCAUCUGUCUUUGAUCCCUAGCUGGUGAGGAGUUGUGAUCCUUUGGAGGAGAGACAUUCUGGUUUUUGGUGUUUUCAGCCUUUUUGUGCUGUUUUCUUCCCAUCUUAGUGGCUUUAUCUACCUGUGGUCUUUGUAGUUGGUGAGUUUUGGAUGGGUUCUCUGAGUGGAUGUCCUUUCUGUUGAUGUUGAAGCUAUUUCUUUCUGUUUUUUAGUUUUCCUUCUAACAGUCAGGCCCCUCUGCUGUAGGACUGCUGGAGGUCCACUCUAGACCCUGCUUGCCUGGGAAUCACCUGCAGGGGCUGCAGAACAGUAAGGGUUGCUGUCAGUUUUUUCUUCGGUUAUCUGUGCCAGAAGGGUACCUGCCAGAUGUCAGACUGAGCUCUCCUUUGUGAGGUGUCUCUUUGGCUAUAUGGGGGUUGGGGAGCUGCUUGAGGAGACAGUCUGUCCCUUAUAGGAGCUCAGGUGCCAUGCUGGGAGCACCAUUGUUCCACGCAGAGCUGCUGGGCAGGUACUUUUCCGUCUGCUGCAGUGGAACUCAUAACCACCUCUUUUCCCAGGUGCUCUGUCCUAGGAAGAUCGGCUUUAUUUAUAAGUUCCUGUCAUGCUGCUGUCUUUUUUCAUAGAUGCCCUGCCCUGCAUGGAGUAGUCUAGUCACAGUCUGCCAGCAGAGGUGUUACUGAGCUGCUGCAGGCUCUGCCGAGCUGCUAUGUGAACUGCGUUGGUAGUGGCAAACUGCCUUGGUAGUGGUAGUCACCCUUCCCCCCCGACUGAGCUGGACCAUCCUGGGUCCAGGUGCACUUGCUGUGAAAUUCUCAAUCCAGAGUGUUUCAGAUUGCUUCUUUUGUGGGGGUGGUACCCACUGAGCCAGAUCUCCUGGCUCCCUGUCUCUGCCCCCUCCCUUUCAGUUGAAUGGGCAGCUCUAUGUGCCAGGCAUUCUAGGUGCCAGUUGAAGCAGCUGCCCAGAUUUGUGUGAGUUUCUGUGUGCCAACCUGGCACCGGCUGAAUCCACCGUGCUGAACACUCAUGGCGAUUUUUGGCCCAGGAAUCUUGUGGUCUGUGGGCAGUGAAAAUUUGUUUGGAAAUGCGGUGGGCACUCACCCUCUGUGUUGUUCUUGCUGGGAACUGCACUCUGGAGCUGUUACUAUUUGGCCAUCUUGGAUCCUCCUCUUUAUCUGUAUUUUCUACUAUGACCUCCAAAUUUUCAGUCAUAUUUAGAAUGUCUUUGUGUACAUGAAACUUAAAGAGGAUAUGACCUAUAUUUUCUUUUAGUAUGUUGUCAUUGUUUUUCAGUUAGAUCUCUAAAUCAUGUGGCAUAAAGUGUUAUUUAUAUUGUAAGAUAUAGAAUUAUUUUUUCUUUUUCCAAAUUUCUAUGCAGUUGUCCCAGUGAACCAAUAAAAAUUCAUUUUUUUUCUAGUGAUUUGAUUUUCUUUAGUGAUUUGAUAUGCCACUAUUAUGAUCUACUAAAUAUUCACAUCUGUUUAGACCAAUUUUUGGACUUUCUAAUCUGUUAUACUUAUCUAUUUGCUCUUCCAUCUACCAAUAUGUCACUCUUUUAAUUAUAGAGUCUUCCAUAUAUAUUUUAUUGUUGAUAAUGAUGUUC